CCUACGGGAGGCAGCAGUGAGGAAUAUUGGACAAUGGGCGCAAGCCUGAUCCAGCCAUGCCGCGUGCAGGAAGACGGUCCUAUGGAUUGUAAACUGCUUUUAUACAGGAAGAAACACCUCUACGUGUAGAGACUUGACGGUACUGUAUGAAUAAGCAUCGGCUAACUCCGUGCCAGCAGCCGCGGUAAUACGGAGGAUGCAAGCGUUAUCCGGAAUCAUUGGGUUUAAAGGGUCCGUAGGCGGUUUAAUAAGUCAGUGGUGAAAGCCCAUCGCUCAACGAUGGAACGGCCAUUGAUACUGUUAAACUUGAAUUAUUAGGAAGUAACUAGAAUAUGUAGUGUAGCGGUGAAAUGCUUAGAGAUUACAUGGAAUACCAAUUGCGAAGGCAGGUUACUACUAAUAUAUUGACGCUGAUGGACGAAAGCGUGGGGAGCGAACAGGAUUAGAUACCCUGGUAGUCCACGCCGUAAACGAUGGAUACCUAGCUGUUCGGAGCAAUCUGGNGUGNGAGAGAAGAGAUAAGUAUACCACCUACGGGAGGUACGUUACGUCGAAGAAGAGAAACGUUAAAGUUAAGUAAGUUAGUACGGACGUGAGACGUACGACCGACGGACGACGACGAGGGGAGGGAGGG
rnacentral:rRNA from 1 species